rnacentral:rRNA from 1 species
AUUGAACGCUGGCGGCAGGCCUAACACAUGCAAGUCGAACGAGUGGCGGACGGGUGAGUAAUGUCUGGGACACUGCCUGAUGGGGGGGGAUAACUACUGGAAACGGUAGCUAAUACCGCAUCCCAUCAGAUGUGCCCAGAUGGGAUUAGCUAGUAGGUGGGGUAACGGUUCACCUAGGCUACGCUCCCUAGCUGGUCUGAGAGGAUGACCAGCCACACGGGAACUGAGACACGGUCCAGAUUCCUACGGGAGGCAGCAGUGGGGAAUAUUGCACAAUGGGCGCAAGCCUGAUGCAGCCAUGCCGCGUGUGUGAAGAAGGCCUUCGGGUUGUAAAGCACUUUCAGCGGGGAGGCGUUACCCGCAGAAGAAGCACCGGCUAACUCCGUGCCAGCCGCCGCGGUAAUGC